rnacentral:antisense_RNA from 1 species
GGAAAGGAGGGCCAAGUAGAGCCUCCACGACCCUCGGCUGCCUCCUCACCAUCUCCCCCUCCUCCCAAGUCCAGUAAGAAGUUGGGCCAUGCUGGAAGGGAUUGACCGGGUUGCUUGUCUGGAGACAGAGCCACUACGGGCAGGGCCUGGGCGCCUGGAGUCGGGCAUGAAAGGAAAUAGCGCCUCAUCGCUCUUAUCUAAGCCCAGAGGUCUACUUCGCUUGAAAAGAUCGAGAAUGGGGGAGGGGAUCGUCACUCACUUGCAGACAUCAACAGUUUCCAGAAAACUCGGUUCAAUUCCUUCACCACGGACCCACCAACCAAGGAGCUGGCAAGACCCACCAGCCAACCAGGAGAACACAGACCCGGUUUGUCUUUUGACAACCGAGUGGAACUGACGGGGCCGGCGCCUGCCCUGCGGGUCCCCUCCCUUGGCUGAGAAGAAAACCAAAUAAACCUUGAACAGCCUUGGC